rnacentral:rRNA from 1 species
AUACGGAGGGUACGAACGUUAAUCGGAAUUACUGGGCGUAAAGCGCGCGUAGGUGGUUCGGUAAGUGGGAUGUGAAAGCCCCGGGCUCAACCCGGGAACUGCAUUCCAAACUGCCGGGCUAGAGUAUGGUAGAGGGAGGUAGAAUUUCCUGUGUAGCGGUGAAAUGCGUAGAUAUAGGAAGGAAUACCGGUGGCGAAGGCGGCCUCCUGGACCAAUACUGACACUGAGGUGCGAAAGCGUGGGGAGCAAACAGGAUUAGAUACCCCAGUAGUCC